rnacentral:rRNA from 1 species
GCCAGACUCCUACGGGAGGCAGCAGUGAGGAAUAUUGGUCAAUGGGCGCAAGCCUGAACCAGCCAAGUCGCGUGAGGGAUGACGGUCCUAUGGAUUGUAAACCUCUUUUGUCGGGGAGCAAGGCCCGCCACGUGUGGCGGGAAGGAGAGUACCCGAAGAAAAAGCAUCGGCUAACUCCGUGCCAGCAGCCGCGGUAAUACGGAGGAUGCGAGCGUUAUCCGGAUUUAUUGGGUUUAAAGGGUGCGUAGGCGGAAGGUUAAGUCAGCGGUAAAAUGUCCGGGCUCAACCCGGGCCGGCCGUUGAAACUGGGGAUCUUGAGUGGGCGAGAAGUAUGCGGAAUGCGUGGUGUAGCGGUGAAAUGCAUAGAUAUCACGCAGAACUCCGAUUGCGAAGGCAGCAUACCGGCGCCCGACUGACGCUGAGGCACGAAAGCGUGGGGAUCGAACAGGAUUAGAUACCCGAGUA